rnacentral:rRNA from 1 species
CCUACGGGAGGCUGCAGUGAGGAAUAUUGGUCAAUGGGCGCAAGCCUGAACCAGCCAAGUCGCGUGAGGGAUGACGGUCCUAUGGAUUGUAAACCUCUUUUGUCGGGGAGCAAGGCCCGCCACGUGUGGCAGGAAGGAGAGUACCCGAAGAAAAAGCAUCGGCUAACUCCGUGCCAGCAGCCGCGGUAAUACGGAGGAUGCGAGCGUUAAUCGGAAUUACUGGGCGUAAAGGGUGCGCAGGCGGUUGAGUAAGACAGAUGUGAAAUCCCCGAGCUUAACUCGGGAAUGGCAUAUGUGACUGCUCGACUAGAGUGUGUCAGAGGGAGGUGGAAUUCCACGUGUAGCAGUGAAAUGCGUAGAUAUGUGGAAGAACACCGAUGGCGAAGGCAGCCUCCUGGGACAUAACUGACGCUCAGGCACGAAAGCGUGGGGAGCAAACAGGAUUAGAUACCCUAGUAGUC